rnacentral:rRNA from 1 species
GACGAACGCUGGCGGCGUGCUUAACACAUGCAAGUCGAACGAUGAAGAAAAGAAUUGAAGCUUCGGCAGAAAUUCAUUGCGGAUUAGUGGCAGACGGGUGAGUAACGCGUGAGCAACCUACCUCUUACAAAGGGAUAGCCUCGGGAAACCGGGAUUAAUACCAUAUAACAUUGCGACGAAGCAUUUCGAUGCAAUCAAAGCUACGGCGGUAAGAGAUGGGCUCGCGUCCCAUUAACCAGCUGGUGAGGUAACGGCUCACCAUAGUAACGAUGGGUAACCGGCCUGAGAGGGUGAACGGUCACUCUGGAACUGAGCCACGGUCCAGACUCCUACGCGAGGCAGCAGUGGGGAAUAUUGCCCUAUCGAGGGAACUCUGAUGCAGCGACGCCGCGUGAGUGAUGAAGGAAUUCGUUUCGUAAAACUCUGUUCUAUGGGAAGAAAAGGACUGUACCCUAGGAGAAAGCUCCGGCUAACUACGUG